GGUCCUAUGGUGCAGUGGUUAGCAUGGUGCUCUUGUAAGUUACUACCACAAUCUGGUACUGCCAGGUACUCUCUCCAUAUAUGUUCCCCGCUUCUAACACGCCGCUUAUAGAUAGACUCAAGGUAGACGCAAGUCACUUUGUUCCUAUGAUUGUUAUGCACAGGUCGUGGGUUCGACCCCCACUAGGACCA
rnacentral:tRNA from 1 species